UCUACGGGAGGCUGCAGUGGGGAAUAUUGGACAAUGGGGGCAACCCUGAUCCAGCCAUGCCGCGUGUGUGAAGAAGGCCCUCGGGUUGUAAAGCACUUUCAGUGAGGAAGAACGCCUGGUGGUUAAUACCCAUCAGGAAAGACAUCACUCACAGAAGAAGCACCGGCUAACUCCGUGCCAGCAGCCGCGGUAAUACGGAGGGUGCGAGCGUUAAUCGGAAUUACUGGGCGUAAAGCGCGCGUAGGUGGCUUGAUAAGCCGGUUGUGAAAGCCCCGGGCUCAACCUGGGAACGGCAUCCGGAACUGUCAAGCUAGAGUGCAGGAGAGGAAGGUAGAAUUCCCGGUGUAGCGGUGAAAUGCGUAGAGAUCGGGAGGAAUACCAGUGGCGAAGGCGGCCUUCUGGACUGACACUGACACUGAGGUGCGAAAGCGUGGGUAGCAAACAGGAUUAGAUACCCGAGUAGUC
rnacentral:rRNA from 1 species